rnacentral:rRNA from 1 species
GUGCCAGCCGCCGCGGUAAUACGGAAGGUCCGGGCGUUAUCCGGAUUUAUUGGGUUUAAAGGGAGCGCAGGCUGAUGAUUAAGCGUGACGUGAAAUGUAGCCGCUCAACGGCUGAACUGCGUCGCGAACUGGUUAUCUUGAGUGAGUUCGAUGUUGGCGGAAUUCGUGGUGUAGCGGUGAAAUGCUUAGAUAUCACGAAGAACUCCGAUUGCGAAGGCAGCCAACAAGGCCUUUACUGACGCUAAAGCUCGAAGGUGCGGGUAUCGAACAGGAUUAGAUACCCUGGUAGUCCGCACGGUAAACGAUGGAUGCCCGCUGUUUGCGAUAUACUGUGAGCGGCCAAGAGAAAUCGUUAAGCAUCCCACCUGGGGAGUACGCCGGCAACGGUGAAACUCAAAGGAAUUGACGGGGGCCCGCACAAGCGGAGGAACAUGUGGUUUAAUUCGAUGAUACGCGAGGAACCUUACCCGGGCUUGAACUGCAGCGGAAGGAUACAGAGAUGUUGACGCCCUUCGGGGCCGCUGUGGAGGUGCUGCAUGGUUGUCGUCAGCUCGUGCCGUGAGGUGUCGGCUUAAGUGCCAUAACGAGCGCAACCCUUUUCAUUAGUUGCCAUCAGAUAAUGCUGGGCACUCUGGUGAUACUGCCACCGUAAGGUGUGAGGAAGGUGGGGAUGACGUCAAAUCAGCACGGCCCUUACGUCCGGGGCUACACACGUGUUACAAUGGGGGGUACAGAGAGUCGGAUAUACGCAAGUAUGUUCUAAUCCUUAAAGCCUUCCUCAGUUCGGAUUGGGGUCUGCAACCCGACCCCAUGAAGCUGGAUUCGCUAGUAAUCGCGCAUCAGCCAUGGCGCGGUGAAUACGUUCCCGGGCCUUGUACACACCGCCCGU